rnacentral:rRNA from 1 species
CCUACGGGUGGCAGCAGUGGGGAAUAUUGGACAAUGGGGGGAACCCUGAUCCAGCGACGCCGCGUGAGUGAAGAAGUAUUUCGGUAUGUAAAGCUCUAUCAGCAGGGAAGAAAGAAAUGACGGUACCUGACUAAGAAGCCCCGGCUAACUACGUGCCAGCAGCCGCGGUAAUACGUAGGGGGCACGCGUUAUCCGGAUUUACUGGGUGUAAAGGGAGCGUAGACGGUUACGCAAGUCUGGAGUGAAAGGCGGGGGCCCAACCCCAGGACUGCAUUGGCAACUGGUUAACUGGAGUGUCGGAGAGGCAAGUGGAAUUCCUAGUGUAGCGGUGAAAUGCGUAGAUAUUAGGAGGAACACCAGUGGCGAAGGCGGCUUGCUGGACGAUGACUGACGCUGAGGCUCGAAAGCGUGGGGAGCAAACAGGAUUAGAUACCCCUGUAGUC